rnacentral:rRNA from 1 species
AGUGGAUGGGGAGCAACCUAGUUGUGCGUGUGUAAAGGUAGUGCCAAGAAAAGCGGUGAUCAUGAUGAAAAUCAAUUCCCGGUACCCGAAACCGACACAGGUGGGCAAGUAGAGAAUACUAAGGGGCGCGAGGUAACUCUCUCCAAGGAACUCGGCAAAAUGACCCCGUAACUUAGGGAGAAGGGGUGCCACCGAGAGGUGGUCGCAGUGAAGAGGCCCAGGCGACUGUUUAGCAAAAACAUAGGUCUCUGCAAACUCGAAAGAGGAGGUAUAGGGGCUGACGCCUGCCCAGUGCCGGAAGGUUAAAGAAGUUGGUCAGUCUUAGGAUGAAGCUAGCGACUGAAGCCCCGGUGAACGGCGGCCGUAACUAUGACGGUCCUAAGGUAGCGAAAUUCCUUGUCGGGUAAGUUCCGACCCGCACGAAAGGCGUAACGAUCUGGGCGCUGUCUCGGAGAGUGGCUCGGCGAAAUAGGAUUGUCUGUGAAGAUACGGACUACCUGCAUUUGGACAGAAAGACCCUAUGAAGCUUUACUAUAGCUUGGAAUUGUGUUCGGGCUUCCUGUGCGCAGGAUAGGUGGGAGGCGUAGAAGGUAUUCUUGUGGGGAUACUGGAGCCAACGGUGAGAUACCACUCUCAGGAGGCUAGAAUUCUAACUUAAUUAAGGACAGUUUCAGGUGGGUAGUUUGACUGGGGCGGUCGCCUCCAAAAAGGUAACGGAGGCGUACAAAGGUUCCCUCAGACUGGUUGGAAAUCAGUCGAAGAGUGCAAAGGCAGAAGGGAGCUUGACUGCGAGAAGUACAGUUCGAGCAGGGUGGAAACACGGUCUUAGUGAUCCGACGGUGCUGUGUGGAAGGGCCGUCGCUCAACGGAUAAAAGUUACUCUAGGAUAACAGGCUGAUCUCCCCCAAGAGUUCACAUCGACGGGGAGGUUUGGCACCUCGAUGUCGGCUCAUCGCAACCUGGGGCGGAAGUACGUCCCAAGGGUUGGGCUGUUCGCCCAUUAAAGCGGUACGUGAGCUGGGUACAGGACGUCGUGAGACAGUUCGGUCCAUAUCCGAUGUAGGCGUGAGAAUAUUGAGAGGAGCCUUCCUUAGUACGAGAGGACCGGGAAGGACGCACCGCUGGUGUACCUGUUAUGAUGCCAAUUGUAAACGCAGGGUAGCCAAGUGCGGAGAGGAUAACCGCUGAAAGCAUCUAAGUGGGAAGCCCACCUCAAGAUGAGUAUUCUGGUGUAAGGUCACGGGAAGACGACCCGUAAAUAGGCACGAGGUGGAAGUGCAGAGAUGUAUGAAGCCGAAGUGUACUAAUAGACCGUCGGCUUGACC